AGGAUGACAGUGAUGUAGAGUGGAAGUUUGCUCGUUCCAAACUCUGGCUAUCCUACUUCGAUGAUGGAAAAACAUUACCUCCACCCUUCAGUCUGGUCCCUAGUCCAAAAUCGUUUGUUUAUUUCAUCAUGAGGAUCACUAACUUUUCCAAAUGCAGGAGGAGAAGACUUCAGAAGGAUCUGGAACUGGGCAUGGGUAACUCAAAGUCCAGGUUAAACCUCUUCACUCAGUCUAACUCGAGAGUUUUUGAAUCACACAGUUUUAACAGCAUUCUCAAUCAGCCAACACGAUAUCAGCAGAUAAUGAAAAGACUCAUAAAACGGUAUGUUUUGAAAGCACAAGUAGACAAAGAAAAUGAUGAGGUGAACGAAGGUGAACUGAAAGAAAUCAAGCAGGAUAUCUCCAGCCUUCGUUACGAACUUUUGGAAGAUAAGAGCCAAGCGACGGAGGAACUGGCCAUCUUGAUUCAUAAACUCAGUGAGAAACUGAACCCCAGUGCGCUGAGGUGUGAAUGAGGGAGCCACAUGCAGUGAGACUUUGACUCUGGCACAAAUGUGGGCAAUAAUAUUCCUAAGUAUGAAAUACUUGAAAAACCGUUGUGUAAAAACUCUAGUGUUAAUACCUUCACCAUGCGGAGCUUUAAAAUUAACCUAGUGGGCCACAAUUCCCAUUACGUGAAAAUGAUCCCAAGGUUGGCCUCAGCACUCCAAGCAGUGACAUGCUGUUGUACUUAGAAGCCCAGUAUUAAUGUCACUGAUUUUUUUUUUUUUUUUGUCAUUUUUGUCUUUAUGUCACCUGUUGGCCUCCAAGAGUUCCUUGGGGGACAGGGACCACAUCAAUCUCAUCUUUAUGUCUCCAACAUUUAGUGCAGUGCCUGAUACACAGUAGGUGCUUGGUAAAUGUUGAACCCAGCUGGCCUGGACAGCCAGUAGCAUCCAAGAACACGAAAGACCAUUGCUAUGUAGCCUACCUUCUCAUCCGAACGCUUGAAGCGAUUUUUUUAAAAAUAGAAACUGAAGGUGUUUUACGACCAGCCAUGAUGUGUGGAGAUCUUUCUCAGACCUUUAGACAUCACUGACAGUUCUAGGGCUUUUGAAAUGCCAGGUUUAACAGUGAAAUGAGCUCAUUGGAAAGAUACAUAUUUAAUUUCAUAGGGUUGUUCAAAAACAAUCAUUAAAGAUUUUUCUAAAAUAUAUGCUUGUGUCCUUUCUCUUUGUAUCUGUGGUGUCAUGAUGUAAAUUUGGUCAAUAAAGAAUGCUUUUCU
rnacentral:lncRNA from 1 species